AGCUAUGAUUUUUUGUUUCUUGCGUAGUUUAGUCGUUUGGGCUCUGAUUUAAGAUGUGUCUGUUGAGUUAGCUUCCUAUCAUUGCAAAAAAUUUAUCUAAGUGCUCUUGUCACCUGUUGGCUUGAGUAAUUUAGUUUCGGGUCUCUUACUUGUGUUUGGCAGUGAUCUAGGACAGUGGCCGAAAAUAUUUUGAGAAAAAAUUUACGGCUCCUAUUCUCUCUAUCUGGUCGCCGUCUCCAGUCCUUCAAAAUCAAAUACAACUUUGAAGUAGUGUCCACUUUCCAGUCCAAGUAACACUAUAGUAAAAUACUAGACUGAUCAACUGGACCAACAUGAACAAAAACAUUAUCAAGAUAAAGACAAGAAAAAAGACAAGCUGCAAGAAUUCAUACACACCACAGCAGCAAACGGGCACUAAAUAGGUUUUCAAAUCACAAGUAGAAUCAAAUUCUGGCAGAGUAAUGACAACCCUUGAAGACAAAGAGUCAAGAGAGAACUUAAGUGGUCUAGGAUGUAAAAAAAAAACUAUGUGAUUACAAUAUGUUUAGAAAAUUAGAAGACUUCUCAUUACCACUCUAAGAGACUUCACAAAUAGCUUAGGCUGUCUCCAACAGGAGACUCAUUUGGGAACCCAAAUCUAAAAUGGGUCUCCAACACAAUACCUAUAGCCUCCAACAGAGUACCCAUACAGAAGAUCCAUUUUGGGUAUUAGGAGAGGCAUAACCCAAAUUUGGAUAUCCUCUCUCCUCGAGACCUAUUUGCAGAGAGUGUUGUCUUUUAGGUACGGAACCUUUUACCUGUAGCGCUACCCAAAGGACAAAUGAGUCUUGUAUUUUGGGUGAUGAUUGUCGGAGAUAGUCGAUAUCUUUCAUCCUAGAAGUGAUUAGCAGCAUGUAGUACCGCGAGAUUAAGCCACUACUAGCAGGUAGCACGGCACUAGAACGGACCAUUCAAAAGCAAAUUAGCAUCCAGGAACCAACUUCAGGCACUAGAAAGGACCAUGCCAAAAUCAAAUUAACAUCCAGGAACCGACUUCACAACCUAGAUGGAUUUCACCUAUCCAGAACAACCAUUAAAGUCUAGCAGCUACAUGAUUCGACCUAGGCCUUGUUUAGUUCACCCAAAAAUAAAAAACUUUUCAAAAUUCUCCGUCACAUCAAAUCUUGCGGCAUAUGCAUGGAACACUAAAUAUAGACGAAAAUAAAAACUAAUUACACAGUUUACCUAUAAAUCGCGAGAUUAAUCUUUUAAGUCUAGUUAUUUCAUGAUUGAACAACAUUUGUCAAAUAAAAACGAAAGUGCUAUAGUCCCGAAAACCAAAAAAUUUUCGGAACUAAACAAGAUUUUACCUAUCUGGAACAACCAUUAGGGCAGUCCCAAUGGACAAUUUCUAGGAGUAGUUUCCAAAAGAGAAAAAGAGUAAUUAAUGUUAAUAGAAAUCAUUCUUUUCAACCCAUAGUUUCUAUACUAGUGUUUAUACAAAGGAUAACAUAAAUGCAGAAAAAAAAGGAGGUAGAUCAACUGUGGCAAAUAUUUCUGUAGCCAACAUAUUUUCCGAACACACGAUGUUUUCAAAACACACGAUGACAAAAAAAAAAAAACAGCAAAAUAGCUGCAGUCCAACACAUGUUCCAGAACCAUAUGCUAUCAAAUAACAACUAAUAUAUAUUUCGAGAACCAUAUAUUAAUUAAUUAAUAAAAUCAAUCUGAAAUAAAGAUAAUAUGUAGCAACACUAAUUUUAGCAUUUAGCAGCAACUAAAACUUGCAGACUCCCAAACUAUUUCUGGAAACGAACAUCAAGCAAUGAGGAGGAGAAUCAAUUGACACGGAUGCAUGCAUCAAGCAGAAGCACAAAGAAAGCUAGCAAAGGUGAGUAUGCGCUUGCUGGAGUGAGUAUGCGCUUGCUCGAAUCAAGCGGGGAGGCGGCGGAGUAGCAGCAGGAGCGCCACCACCUCGAGCAGGAAGGGCAGCAGAGGCCACGCACAUCCACGCAGGCACGCAGAGUCGUUGCUCCGGCCGCUGGCUGCCCCGGCCCCCUCGCCGUUGGCCCGGUGCGCCGCGCAGGCAGCAAGGCCACACGGCGGUAGCAACACAGGGGAAAAUGGCGAGGCCGAGGCGGGAGCGAGCGCGGGAUGAGCCGGAGGGCGAGCGCGUGACAUUUGCUUGCUUGUGCGGCGACGUACUGGAUCUAGAUGGAAACUACUCAAGUCUCCCCAAUGGCAUUUUCAUAGUUUCUUGUUGCAUUGGUGCGAGCGUCGACUCGGUUUCGUGCAGAAGAAACCAAUUCUUCAUUUUACCCUCUCUCUCUUCAUUAAUUCUUUUGCCAUAUCAACAAAAUAGUGAGUUGUGUGUUGCAUGGGUUGCUACUGGUUUGUCAUUUAUGUUGAUUGAAUUGAACAUUCUUGAAUCUCCGGUCAUGUGUUGAGUGCACCCACUAUCAAGAACCCAAUGCCUUCCUCCGACUUUAUAAUUCACCUACAAAUGAAGGUUAGUGACUAAGUUCUUUGGUACCCAAAUAACUUUCUUCUUUGAGCCCACAAUUGGUGCACCAAUGAACUUAGGUUGCACCCCAUUAACACUUUUGGUAAGCAUAUAACAAGAGUCAAAUUUAAUUGAGGAUACAUUGUUUGGUUUGUUCUUGUUCUUGCAAUAUUGCUCUAUGUGCCCAAUUUGCUUGCAUCUAUUGCAAAAUUGACCAUUACCCUUCACAAAGCUAGCUUUGGGAGUGGCAAAGGUCACCUUGCCUUUCUUGGAGGUAUAGCCUAAUCCCUCUUUAUUGAGAGAAAAUCUUUGGGUACCCAAGCAUUUUAGCAAGCAGGCCUCACCACCAUAGGCAU
rnacentral:lncRNA from 1 species